rnacentral:rRNA from 1 species
UGGGGAAUAUUGGACAAUGGGGGCAACCCUGAUCCAGCAAUGCCGCGUGUGUGAAGAAGGCCUGCGGGUUGUAAAGCACUUUUGGCAGGGAUGAAAAGCACUGGAUUAAUAACCCAGUGUGUUGACCUAACCUGCAGAAGAAGCACCGGCUAACUCUGUGCCAGCAGCCGCGGUAAUACAGAGGGUGCAAGCGUUAAUCGGAAUUACUGGGCGUAAAGCGCGCGUAGGUGGUUAGUUAAGUUGGAUGUGAAAUCCCCGGGCUCAACCUGGGAACUGCAUUCAAAACUGACUGACUAGAGUAUGGUAGAGGGUGGUGGAAUUUCCUGUGUAGCGGUGAAAUGCGUAGAUAUAGGAAGGAACACCAGUGGCGAAGGCGACCACCUGGACUGAUACUGACACUGAGGUGCGAAAGCGUGGGGAGCAAACAGGAUUAGAUACCCUUGUAGUCCCUGAGCGGGCUGGCAAGGCGCAU